GUUUUAACUCCAACCCUGUUCCUGGAGAGAAACCCUCCUGUAUGUUUUAACUCCAACCCUGUUCCUGGAGAGAGACCCUCCUGUAGGUUUUAACUCCAACCCUGUUCCUGGAGAGAGACCCUCCUGUAGGUUUUAACUCCAACCCUCCUGUAGGUUUUAACUCCAACCCUGUUCCUGGAGAGAAACCCUCCUGUAGGUUUUAACUCCAACCCUGUUUCUGGAUAACUACCCUCCUGUAGGUUUUAACUCCGACCCUGUUCCUGGAGAGAGACCCUCCUGUAGGUUUUAAUUAAAGACUAAGAAUGCAUGCUGCGUAUUUAUUAAUUAAAAUACUGUAACAAUGCCUGGUGCUUAUUUAUUAAUUAAAAGAAUGCAGCAAUAUAUGGUGCUUAAUUAUAAAUAAAUCUGCUGUGUUUUGACCCCAUUAAA